rnacentral:rRNA from 1 species
GACGAACGCUGGCGGCGUGCUUAACACAUGCAAGUCGAACGGAAAGGCCCUGCUUUUGUGGGGUGCUCGAGUGGCGAACGGGUGAGUAACACGUGAGUAACCUGCCCUUGACUUUGGGAUAACUUCAUGAAACUGGGGCUAAUACCGGAUAGGAGCUCCUGCUGCAUGGUGGGGGUUGGAAAGUUUCGGCGGUUGGGGAUGGACUCGCGGCUUAUCAGCUUGUUGGUGGGGUAGUGGCUUACCAAGGCUUUGACGGGUAGCCGGCCUGAGAGGGUGACCGGCCACAUUAGGACGGAGCUACGGCCCAGACUCCAACGGGAGGCAGCGGUGGAGAAUAUUGCACAAUGGGCGGAAGCCUGCUGCAGCAACGCCGCGUGCGGGAUGACGGCCCUCGGGUUGUAAACCGCUUUCGCCUGUGACGAAGCGUGAGUGACGGUAAUGGGUAAAGAAGCACCGGCUAACUACGUG